UAUUGUAUUAGAAGUGCAAAAUUAUUUUAUAUUCUUGCAUAUUUUAAAAAAAUUCUAAUGAAAGAAUACUUUUUUUUUCCAUUGAUGUAGUAGUUACAACAAAUAAAAAAUAUGUAUAUGAAAUUUAGUUUCUCUACAAAUUUUUAAUCUAAAAUUACAUGUUGAUAUUUAAUUUGUUUAAGACUAUAGGCCGUUCCACAAAAAUUGUUAAGUUUGCUUUAUAUUAGAAGUAAAUCUUGCAUCAAUCUUUUAAAGUUUCUCCACCGUUAACAAUAAUCCAUCUACCUAACAUAAAUCCCAGUAGAACGAUGUAAAUCAAAUUUCAAGAUCUUAAAACUAGUUUUUAUUUAUAAUAUUUCAAAGCUGGCUACAAAUAUAAACAUGAAUAUAAUUUUUUUAAAGAUAUCUAACUACAUUAUACUUCGAUAAUAAAAAUUGAUUGUUAAGACCUUUUUACUAGCAACCACAACUGGAUUAGCCUCAUUCCUCAGUGGCAUCAACAUCAGAAACCAUGAAGGCUGAGGACCACUACGAACAAUGCAACACGUCCUGUUGCAUGCCAUGGAUGCUGAAUGGCAAUGGAAGAUUGUGGUGUGCUUGUGAUCGCUAAGUAGAGAGUACCGAGAUGAAGAGAAGUGAAGAGAAGAGAAGAGCUGGCUGUUUCUAUUGAAAAAACGACAAGUGAUAGUCACAAGCAAAUCAAAUCCAACAUGUAAAUAUAUUCAACGUACGCAUGAGCUUAAGAAACACAGACCACUUCAGAGAGGUGCCGCACACUGACUGACUGUGCACACCAUCUCCAUUUUCUUAUUCUCUGUGUGAUGUCGGGGGUAGUAAGUACCAUACGAGUUGAAGAGCAGCAAACAGUAGCCAUUCCUUUGAAUUCUGAAUUUUGCAGUUCACCUUGCCAAGCAUUCUAGAAAGUUGGGCGAAUUCGCAACGGCAUUGCAAGAGUGAGGCUUGUCAAAGUAGGAAGUUUUGGUGAAGUGGAAGAAAGCUAACGAUGUGCACGAGAGGUAACACCUGGAUCAUCAUCCACUAGAGCUGGAGUUCCCUUCAUUUUUCUCCUCCAUCACUUCUUUUGAUGCCGUCUUUUGUAUGAGUCCCUUAACAUCCUUGGGCUCUUCCUGCUGCAAAUCGUUGGUAUUCUGCGGAUCGUUGCCCUUCUGCUUUGCCGUUCCACUGCCAGCAGACUCGUUGGGCUUGCCAGACUCACUCUGCUUGCUCAUCUGUGUCUGCUCGUCUGAAAUCAGGCUGGAACGUCGCCUCUUCAAUUUAGGCUUCUUGGAGGAAUUUCUUGGAGUUCGGUUGGAUGUGGUUUUGCUGCUGCCACUUACCUCAGAAAUUUGUUUGACCUCCUUUCUGGACUUUCUCUUUCUUUUGCCUUUCUCAGUGCCCAUGGAAUCAUUCCCCCUUAAUGUACUAUCCGAUGGAUAAGAGGCAGGGCUCCCACUCGUUUCAUCGGAGAAUGCUUGGAGAGAGGUGGCAAUCGAAGUAUCAUUUUUGCUGUUUACAUCAGAUUGACCUCGCUUAAUAUUUUUCCCUUUGCAGCCUCGUACUAACCCGAUGGCUACCCCCACAUCACUGACAUGUCUAGAUUUCUUUUUGAGCCGCUGUUUCUUAGCUGCAGGUUUUCGUCUGCGGGGAAAAAAAGCUUUUCUCUUCACUACUAUAGACUUCCUCGAUUUGGACCCCUUUCUCUUCCCCGAUCGCUUCGCCAUUGCAAAGAUUCAAUUUGAAUGCUGCUGCCACAAGAAAUUGACAAAAAGCUUCACAGUUGCAACAUUGGAUUGACCCAGCUUGUCAGAAACUUGGCAGGACUCGACAUGGCUUUGGUCGCCAUUGAUGAGUGUCACUUCGGAUGAUAUUGUGGCUAUUUCAAUCUGAAUUCUUCUUUCCUUGAUAAGAAAUCCUCUUAAUUAGGAGAUCUCGCUUCGUGGAGUGCGAAGAUAAAAUGUGGGUAAAUUAUGCAAGUGUUAGUCCGCGACUAUUCAGAUUUGACCAGCGAGCUCAAAGAUGGCAGCACUGCAAACAGGAACGAAUUUAUUUGAAAGACCAGAGUUAUCGCCUUGCCAACGUUUGAAGAAGAAAUUUGACGAUGUUCUGUCCCCAAGGCUUGACAAUGUUGUCUUUUGAUUAGUAAGCGUCACCUUCUGACAGACGCAUCGUUUCGCUCAGCGAUUGCAUGCUAUAGCGCACUUUGAAAGUACCUUUUGGAUGAUCUACCUCUUUGCUUCACUUACUUCUGAAAUGGAAGUCGAGAUCAUUGUGUGAACAGCCGAAUUCUUGUCACGUGCUUCCCUUGUCCUCAUUUUGUUGCAUGUGCUUUUGGUGAAAUUUCUUGUGGAGAAUUAGAUUAAAACAAGAAGAAUGGCGAAGAGAGCUCCAAAAAAACGGCUGGUCAGGAGAAGAAGAAAACCAGUCGGAAAGAGAUCGACAUACGCCAGGAGGAGGAAGAGAAGGCAGCUAAAAGAUGAGCGAGCAGGGACGGCAAGGAAAAGACGGAGGACGGCGGAAAUGGAGAGUGAAUCCACAGGAGGAAGACGAAGAGAUAAGGAAGAGCGCGGAUCGAAGAGGAGGCGUCGAUGCGAAGAGAUCUCUCAAGAGGAGACCAUGACAGAAGAGUCCUACAGAAGCAGCAGUAUCAAGCAAGGCAACAGGAGCAACGACGAGACAGGCAAGAGCAGCAUCUCAAGCAAGGAAAAACAGGAGACUGCAAGUGGCACUGAGAGCGAAAGCCCUCGCAGCAGCAGCAGCAGGCGAAAACGGGGAGGGGGCAGCAGCAUCAGCAGCAAGGCUGCAAGUCCCGCAUCGAAAACCAGCAUUGAAACGGAUGCGAGCGAGUCACUGAACCAAGUCACCUUGGAGGCGAAACCAGCCGAGCGAAAACGGGGAAAGGAAGCUCGGAACGACGAGGACGACGAGGACGACGAAGCAGAAGCAGCAGAAGAAGACAGCCACACCUCCGACGACGACGACGACGAAAGCAGCAGCAGCUCCUGCUCUUGACACACACACACACACCCCCCCCCCUCCUCCAUUCCCCACACACACCCCCAAAAUAUAACAUUCUAUCUCUGCCUGCAAUAAUAAAAGUUUUUUAAGUUUCUCAUUCAUUAUUUUUAAGAUUUGAUUUUAAAAACUUGGAAAGUUAAUUAUUCGACUUGAUGAUUAAAAAAACAAUUGCCCAUGAAAAUAAUGUAUAAAAAAUAUGUUUUAAUUUUAAAAUUGCAAUUUAGUUUAGGAAUUUUUUUUUUGCAAAUUAAAAUUAAGAUUUAAAUCCGAAAAAACUCUUUAGGUCUAUCACAUGAAAUAUUUAAAUAUUUAUAUUCAUGUAAAUUUCAUAAAAGCCAUCAAAAGAUACAACAUAUAUUUAAGUCUAAUCUAAUAAAUGUAAUCACAAUCCAUUUUAUAUAGAAAAUUAAAAAAACACAUCAUUUACUAAUUUUAUGUUGAUAAUUUGUCAGAGUCAGUCAGAAAUAUGUGCAAUUUUCUUUAAAUAAUUCAAAAUAAUUAAACAUAAAUAAAUCUGCAAUAAAAAGAAUAGAUUUUACAUGUGUGACUAUGUACUCUCAUGUAGAUACAAGUCUAAAUAAAUUUACAUAAAAUGAGUGACUAAAUUUUUUUUAUUAUCUUAAAAUAUCUAAGAAUUUAUUCUAUAGGAUUCACAUUUUUCUUUAAAUGUGAUUUAAAAAACAUUAGAUUCUAUUAAGAAUACUCACAUUACUAAAUUUGAUUAUAAUUUUUUGAUUUUUUUAUAUCAUAAAUAUUGAUUUAUUUCUAUGAUAUUUAAAAUAAAAAUAAAUAUAUAUAGACAUAUUAAAAUUUCAAAAUGCAUACAAUUAUAUAUGUACUAAUUUUUAAAUUUCUAAUAUUUAAAAAGAUAAUCUUUAUUAAAAGACGUUGAAGUAAAAUCAUGAAAAAAUAUUUAAUAUCGAAUUAAGAAACAAUUUAAAUUUUUAUAAAUAUAUAAUUUUAUGUGCUACAAAGAGUUUUGUUUUUGCACAUUGCAACAGUAAUUCUUGCGUAAAUUUUCUAAAAAAAAUUGAUUUUUAAAAAAAAAUAUGGUAACUGGGAUGCUUAAGGAUAAAAACUUUAAAAAUAAAUAAAAAAUAAUAAAAGACAUACUUCAAUCUUCUCUAUUUAGUAAUAUUAUUUAAUUAUUUUUAAAAUAAGAAUCUAGAAGAUAAUUUUUCCUAUUAAUUAAUAAAUAUAGAGACAAAACUAAGUUCAUUUUUAAUUUUAUUGAUGUGUAUUUUUCUUUUUUCUUUUUCUUUUUUUUACUUUGUUCUUUCUUCAAGUCUCUUUAGCAUUUUUUAUUUUUAUGUUUAAAUUACUCAAAAAAAGAUUCUGGUUGCUUUAACGAAGUAAUUAUUAUUUAAUUUUAAAAAACCUAUUUUUUAUUGUUACAUAUAUUUAUAUUAUUUAAAUAAAUAGUAUUAAUUAGAAACACAUCAAAUAAAUAACAUAUUCUAGAAACUUGUGUAAAUUUUUAAAGUAAGGAUUAAAUGUACAAGAAACUGUUAUACAUAUAGUUUUAUCUUCAUAAUACCAUAUAAACUUGUAUUAUCAAUAGCUUCUUAAUUCUCAUAAAAAUAUUUGGUUGUGUCUAAGUUUGGUACGUGGACUCCGCCGAUGUUGCACCUGGACUCCAAUUGUUCAAGAUUCAAACCUCAAAAUGUUGCGAAAUCGUCUUGUCUGCGCUGAAAAAGGAAGAACAGUUGCACCUUUCCUGUUGACUGUGUCAGUUGCUUAACAGGUCUUCAAGUUCCCAGCACGCAGAGAGAAAAAAAUGAAUGCUCGGCUGUGGGUCUUUUAGUUUGCCAUAACUGAUGUUGUGAUCCAACUUUGUUCAUUAAAAACAAUAACUUAAUAUGUAUACCUCGAUUUUUGAAUUAAAUAUCUAGUACGUGGGGUAUUUUUAUUUAUUUUAUUUUUUUGCAGCUUUAGCACGAAUGCAAUGGAGUGGAUGAACCCUUAACCUAACACGCAAAGUAUUGGAUGAGUUCAAUCUUUCUAUUUCGAGGAAAUGGCACACGAAAUUGUUCUCAGUGGGCACGUUCCUUUCUUCUCCUCAUGUUCUGUUGAGUAUAAUCCAACUGUUUUAAAACAAGAGAGGAUUCCAAGAUACCCGGAAUCAAGCUCUGUUCAGCAUGCCCUCUGAUCAAGUUGUGAGAUGAGAAUUUAGGACCUAGAUUGCAGCACUUCCCAAUGGUUUGACUGCUUCGGCCAUGAAGAAUCGGGUUAAUUGAGGAUGUGGAGACGUCCGAGCAAGGGUAAUCUACGAGGACUUGACAACCUUACGCUACUCACCAGUAUUUGUAUUUCGUGUAGCAAAUGUUUGUGACCUCAGAGUAGUUCUGAAAAGGACAUAUUUUGCAGCAUCGCUAUCCAAAUUAAUUUCACAACGUUCAAACUUGCUUACUUCCAUCACUUGCUCUUCUGGGAAAUCUGAUGAAGUAAAGAGAAACACAACCGAUCAUUUAUGACAAGAACUUUGCAGAAAGGAUCAUGUCAUUGGCAAUCGCCAGUUGCCGUACGGAAGUCACUAAGAACAGACCGAUUAAUGACGCGACCAAACUCAAGAAUCCAGUUGGGAGACUUCGAAAGAAACAGGCUUCAUCAAUUAAGUGUCAAUUUGCUGCUCUAUUUUUUAUAUAUUUUAUAUUUUAUUUUAUUAAUAAAAUGACGUGGCCUUCAAUGUAGAUGUCAAGGAAGAGAAGCGUAGGUGAUUUGUUUUGCACCACACUUAAGUUUAUUGCCGACAUUCACCACCAUGUUGAGUUUGGUGGAGGAUGUACAGAUUACCUGGGUCGGUAGCACGUUGCGCAAAUGUCGGAUAAUUGAACACAAUCGACUGCAGCCUUGCGGGGAUUUUAAACCCAAAGGGAAAAGUAUCAACGUUUAUCGACAUUUAUGAGAAAGCGUAGUUUACGGUACAUGACAUGGCAAAUUCAAUACUAGUGCGUAGUGUUGGAGUUGCAGAUUUCCUGAUGCUACCUAUGUGCGCAUGUGGUGAUUCCUUAGGGAGGAAUUGAUGCUUGUUGCUAUCUUCAUUAUUUCAAGUAACAGAGAUCGCUACUUCUAGAAAAUGUAGAAAACGAUGCGGGGGCGUGUUGGAAUAGAUGGCGAUCGCACAGGCAUGCUUCCCAAUUCUACACCAGAAGUCAUAGUGGCCUCAUAUGGUUCAUGACAAAAUCAUAACUCCAGAUCCCCCCUCGCUACUCUGCAACCCUAUCAUCUGCUGCAGUUGUGUAAUUGACUCGCACCAUUGCUUACGAUUGGACGGAGAGCUGCGAAGCAGCAAUUAGGGACUUCGUGGGAAGGCUGGAGGCGCGAUUCUCAAACAUCUCUUGAGAAUUCCGAAUGACCUCUUGGGGUUGCUUCUGAAGUCUGGCCUGCUCUGGGAUCUCUGAGGCAGUGGUUGAGCUUGUGAUGGCAUGAUUGGUGUUCUGAAACAAAAUUUCAACCACCAGUCGAGAAUUUAAUGGCAAUCCCAAUCUCGGCACUGGAACAACGCGAGAGAACCUCACAUUAAUGUAAGCGAUGGAGAUUGAGAAGAAUACCUUGACAUCGACCUGGCAUUGGAGCGCGACAGCUGCGGCGUGAGAGCCUUCCUCUCCACUGAGCCAGAUUUGUCCAACUCCCUCUUGGAAUGUACCACCUGCGCCGCUGAAUUCAGUCCCGCCUCUGCGCCUGGCGCCGCGUUGAAUCGCUCGGCUUUUCUGAGUACCUCUUUACUUGAUAGCUUGGAAACAUCUAUCUUCGGAGAUGAAGGGAGCUUUUCGGAGUAUAGGAAAUCGUGAAGGGUUUUGCUGCCACGCCGUUGCUUUGAUUCUUCAAAGAAAGGCCAGAACUCCUUGGAGAUACCAACAUUGAUGAAAUUCUCGUCCCCUGACGACGAAGAAGAGGAAAAUGCAGAGGAUGUUGACGACGAUGCAGAGUCGGUCGAUUUAUCCGAAAACAUUGCAUUCACUUCAGGACUCUCCCUCUUGAAUAUUUUCAAAGGUGACAAUGACCUGAACUUCUGCAGCCUCUGGCAGAUGCCGUUUUCUUGCUCUGGCUCCAGCCCCAGAAUUGGCCAGGCGGUAGAAUGCAGGGCUCCUCUUUGAGGACUCUUGGACCUCCCACGAAGUGACAGCAGCUUCAAUGGUGAGCUGCCCGAUCGCGGCUUCCGAAAAGACCCCUGAAGAACUCCCCCAUCGGAGCCAGGGGAUGAAUCAGUGGAAUCUUUUAACUGUUUCACUGCCUGCAGCCGGGGAGGAAGCGUCAAGGGCAACAGCUGGCCAUGAAAGAAUAGCUCGUCAGCGGAGGCAAUGGAGGAGUCGUUCAGAGCAUGAGUUUCCUCCGGAGGUAUGAACCUGGCACUGCUAAAGUCGAAAUCGGAGGUGGAGGACUGACGGGAUAGCCUCUCCGGGCUGCUUGAUCUGCUCCGCGACCCAAGCUCUCUCUCCUCCACGUCCAUUUCACUGGACCCGUCAUUGUUCCUGCUACCCCUGCUUCUUUUUGGAGUGCCAGGCCUGAGCUCCCAUUCGAAGGGGACAGCGCAAUGGACCUCGCCUAAUGGCGUCUCCUCAAUUUCCCUAAGCGAAGCUCGUCGGGGACUGGUGGGGGCGCUCAGGAAGUAGGGGGUGGAGGUGGUGCUAACCUCAUCAUCGGAGAAUUUGUUGGAACUCCUGUUUCGUCUUGGAGAUAUGCUGAGACGUGCCAAGGUGGCGAGGGUCUCCAUCUUCUGAGCUGUCAGUGAGUUUAGUUCCUCGAAUGUGCGAAGGGCUUCGAGCAUGAAUAUUUAGUGCUGUGCUGGAGAUGAUUUACGGAUCGACCGGCCCAGAGAACAUUCGAUUGUCCAUGUCGUAACUGCUGAAGAAAUCCAUGAGGAGACGAGAAUGCGGAACCAAAGUACUGAGAAUUUGCUAAUCGAACAGAGUUGGUGGAGAAAGAGGGCACAAUGUGUUUGCCGAAGCUAGAUCGUCACGUCAGAUCCAAUGUGAGAUGUAAAGCUGGCGGUGCUCAACGUGGCCGAAUUUCGAGAGCUCAUAAAAAACAUCUGCAGGGAAGGGAGAAACCGCGUCCUUGUGCUUUGUUAGCGCGUCAUGAGUGAAUUGGGAAAGUUGGUAGUCUAGAAGACAAAAAAGAAGCUCACACACUGCAUAGCACCAAAAUCGGGCAGCUCAAUUCGUUCUUUCACAAACACGUGACAGAUGUUGAACCACGAGAUCGAGCAAUAGUAAACACACGCAUCUCAAUAAGCAGAACCUGAAGUUUAGACUCCAAUUGUAGCUGUGGCUGGGGAUAAGAAACCAUUAUUCAAUUCUAAAUAGCUAAGUAGCGAAAGAGCACUAGUAGAUUUCGAAGUCAUUCACCUGCAACCUCAGCUUGAUCAGGUUUCAGCCAGUCCAACAAGCAAUCCCCCAAAAAUUAACCUCCAGCGAAAGCACUCUGUCCUCACAAAAGACUACCCUUCAAGAAAGAUUGGCGAAAAAACGGAUUCAGAAGCUGAGAGCAUUGCCGACUGCAAACAAGGAAGUAACGCUACAUGACCGACAGAGGUAGGAGAGAUUACCUACUUCAAGUUCCGACUCGAAAAUUGCACCUCGUGUUACCAGUUGUAAGAGCAGUCGCCGUCAUGAACCCUCUCUCACGUCGGAAUGAUCGAAUCCUCCACAACAGAGGGGGCGCAUCUGGCGUAGAUAUGCUGGAAGAGCAGAACUACUGCGACGCGGGUUUUCGGUGGGUCCCACUAGCUCCUUGCCGCUUCUUGGUCUCUGGUCCGAUGGAGAUAGUGAUGACGGUCAUUGCGUCUACUACGCUGGCCUUUUGGUAAACUGCAUGCCUCCGUUUUCAAACUCCAGGGUUGAGUCCACGCAUCUGACCGUGUGACUCUGCCUGCUUUCCACUCUGCCUCUCCUACAACGCAUAACCCAGAUUCUCCGGGAUGAGAGAGUGUUGUUGUGUCUGGGACCUCCCUCCAUGCCGCAUAUUUUUAUCUGCUGUGGGCGACCCCCGUCGGAUCCGGUGCAAACAGACAUGCCCUCUGAAGUCAAAGCCAAUACAGUGAUGAUGGUACACUCCAUGUAUUAGUGGGUAUAUAUAUAUAUAUAUAUAUAUAUAUAUAUAAGGUUUUUCAGUUAUAUACUUAUGUAUCCUUUUGUGUGCUUUACAUUGUGAGAACCAGGGUCCGAGAUUUUUCAGAACUUCCACAUCUUGCAUUACUGUGGGGUUUUGGGUGACAACUUCUGGGGUUGUACAUUUGGUGUCUGGCUGCUGUAACCCUCUCUCACAGCUAGAUAAGAGUACUUGGACUUGGCUAACUGACACCUACUGUUCACCAAACUCAGUUAGAAUGCAUUCCUGAUAAUGUACAAGUCAGUAGCGGUAAACUGAGGGUAUAUAGAUAAAUUCCAUAAUGUUUAAUGCUAUCUCCCAAGCAGUUGAAAUUGUAACAACAGAAAAAUAAAUAAACUUUUUCAUCCAGCGUCCACGCAUACAACAAAUGCAACAAUAAUAUUCUUCCAAGAUUUAUCCAUGAGACAUGACAGUCGAAUAAUACUUUUUGACAUGUUCUAUUCUGUGUGGUUGUCCCCAGAACAUAUUGUGCUACAUGUCACAUUUCAGCAAGCCAGAUGGAAUUCCACAAUUAAUCAUGUGCUGGUUUAACUCCGAGGCAAUUACUCCAAGGAGAACAUUAAUGAUGUGAAAAUUUGGAGGGGGGCAAUGCUUCAGAAUGCUUUCAAUUGACCACAUCUUACAGUAGUUGCUCUUCAUUGAAAAAUCUGUACCUUGGUCCAGUACUUGGAGAUAGAAUGUCCUUCCGAGGAUGACGACAGAAAUAUGCUGAUGAGGAGUGUUGAAUGGAUGGGUGGAUGGAUGUGAGAGCAAUAUAGUUUGGGGUUAAUAUGAGAAAGGAAGAAGACUGUUUCACUUUGACAGAUGUUGGUGAGGUGGAGCUGGAUAAAGAGGUGGCCAGCUCCAAUGCCUCCUUUUUCUCCUCUCUCUCACAUUAGCAAGGAGCUUUCUUUGUGAGGGAGUGUAUUUUAGGGCUCUGUGAUGGAAAGAGGGCAUCAAGGAGUUGCAGUAUUUUGUCAGUUGGAAGAAACAAGUCAGUUGUUUCAUAGUCUUAUCAAGAAAAAAGUGGAAGGGGAAAAAAUAAAGUCUUCACAAGACACUUGUGGUCUGAACGGCAUUCCCACCGAGUUCAAUUGUGUGGCAUGGUAGCCACACAAUGACCAUACAUUCCAUCAUUCAAUUAGUACAUCCCACAUUAUACCUUUGCAUUAGUCACAUGAAAAAUCAAGCUCCCUCCUCCUUCUCCUUCUUCUACUCCCUUCUCUUUUUUCUUUUUUUUUUUUUUUUUUUUAAAUAUAUAUAUAUAUAUAUAUAUAUAUAUAUGAAAAAUAUAUAAUAUGCUCAUACACAAACACGUAAAAAAGUGUGAGAACAAGCUUUUGGAAAUGUGGUCUUGCUGCCCAUGUAACGAGUUGCAAAAUUUCAUUUUCCGGGAGGCCUGGAUUGAAAGCAAGACCAGAUUUUUCCUUGCUCGUGCCCAGAAAAGGAAUCCCAAAAGUAGAAACCCUGAGCUUACACAGAGGCGGUUUGGGCUUUAGUCAACUCUUCAGGUUUCAGAAUUUUCCCGCAGAAAAAGGGAUGGAAUCUUCAACAUAGUCUGCUGAAAAUAGCCUCAAAAUCUUGGACUUGCCAAUCAACAAGUCUUCUGAUUGACAUUGAGUGAAAAGACUACUGAUCUCGCUUUUAAAACUUUCUAAAUACAUAUUCAACUGUAGUUAUGACACAUGGAUGAAGUUUCAGUAUUCAUUGGUGCAUUCAGAAUGACAACUGGCUCUUGGAAAAGAAUCACUAAAAUUCUAGAGACUUCCAUGUCAGGAACCACCAACAUUGUUGGAUGAUUACACAGAGAAUCAAACCAAUUCAUGGAAUACAAAUAAACACUAAUAUUUGCCCUUGUUGGUCCCUAUAGUUUCAUGGAAUCUGUUAUAACUCCAACCAAAUGGCUGGAUUUAGUGCAUUAUUUAAUUGUCAAAGAAUGCUUCAAAAAUUCUUAUACACAGAAUCAAGUUCAGAUUAUGAUUAAUAUUAUUCUUUAUACAAUAAAACUCUUAGAGUAUGGCAUGCCAAGAAAACUAUAUUAAAAUAAUGUGUUAAUUUAUUUGAGAAGUUAAAAUUACAAUUAUAUAUAAACGCUUAUUUUGACUAGAUUACAUAGCUCAUUGAGAACACAGCUAAUUAUAUCAAAUUCUGUAUAAAAAUAUCAUAUUUUGUAUCUGUAGAACCUGAAACAAAUAAAACACUCUGUAGUAUAAAAUUUUGAAAGUUUGUGUGAUGAGCUUUUUAAUAUUUUAUAAUCAUCAAACAAUCAAGAUUAUUUUGGUUUCUUGUUUUUGUAUUUAUAAUUUUCUUUGAAAUUUUAUUUUAAACUAUUAAUUACAGAUUUCAGAGCAGAAUUAAAGCAAGAUUCAAAGCUGAAAGUGUGUCCCAAUUCCCAAGAACAAACAUUGUUGAAAGGAAGAGCCAAAAAGGCAUUUGAAGGUUGACAACCAAAAAAAACUAAAUUGAGUUUUAAGUAUUAGUCCCUACAAUUAAAAAAAAUCAGGAUCAUAAUAUUGAAUUGUUGUGUUGAAAUAUCUUACCUUGCUUUGAUGGACUGGUAGCAUGCUUGGAUAUUCAAAACUAAAAGCUAUUGAACAUGUACCAUCUGUUUCAAAGGUUUCCACAGAACCAAAACCAAAAUGAUGAACUUUCCUUCUUUGUUUCACGAAUGUGAAUGAUGCCCAGAGAGAAAUGUGAGAUGCAAAUGUGCAACAUUCUGCUUCAACACCAUAACAAAAAAGGGGGCAACUCACCACAGAGUGUCUUCCAAAAGAAAUGAAGAUGCAAAUGGCAUGAAAUCAGGAGGCUUGUUGCUGGUGAAGACAAGGGUUCCACUUCACCAUCAUCCCCCCCUCCCCUCCUGGUUGACACCAAAAGCAUGUGAGAAAAAGACACGAGGCAGCAUCAUAGCUGCUACUUGACUUUUACACAACUUAAGUAGCUUCAUCAACUGUAGAUACCCACAUAUUAAAAGGCAUGAGAAUGAACAUUUUACUCUAAACUAGGGAAAAAGAUUUAUCAGCCAUAUCCAUAUCAUUUCACCAAAUGAUGUUAAAUCCAUAAGCUCUCAUGGAGACAUAAUGCCAAAGGCCAUCAUGUUAGGGCAGACUCAACCUCACAGAAAGUGUGAGAAUGUCUCUCCCUCUUGUUUCCUCUGACCAUUUUGCUGCCUCACAGGUUGACUUUUUGCACAGCUACUAACCAGAUGAUAUCCUCUGAGACCAAUGAGCCUGACAGUGGGCCCAGCCAUGGCAUACACAUUGACUAAUCUCUGACCAUAGCCUACAUGAGCACCAUGUCACCAUUGUCAAAUUCAAAGGCUGAUGCUUAUCUUAACAGCACUCAUUUCAAUCCUAUGCCUAAUAUUGCCAAAAUAUGGAAAGAGGUCCUUCAAAUGUGUCCACACAGCAACAACUCUGAUCCAACUUCCAAGCAGGCUCAAGCUCUCACCCAAGAGCAUGAGGAAGAGGGCUUUAUUGGCUCAAAGUUCGUGUUUUCAUUCACAUGUUAGGAACCAAGUUGAAAAACUACUGUCACACAGGUUCAAACUCUGCUUCUGGAUUGGUACUUGGACAAAGAUAAAUAAAAAACCAGGUUUAUAACUUUUUGAAAGCCUCAGGUUGUGUGUGUGUCAAACAUCAGCAAUGGUCUGGGAUACUGAUGCAAAAUGGUGCUGGUUCAGGAUUAAAUGCAAUUAAUUGUGUGACCAUCUCUAGUUACUAGCUGCAAGCCAAACUAAUAGGACUCUCAAAUCAACCCAACUUUGAAUAACCAAAUAAUUUGAGUCUUUGCAUUGUAAGGUUCUUUGAUGCAUAACAUGACAACAAAAGGCAACCAGGUUGUAUGGAACAGACAAUGCCAGGCAGAGCAUUGGCCUGCCAGCCCACAUCAUCUACUCCUCUUUUCUGCAGACAUAUAUUCAUAUGAGAGUUUUUUAAGGUUUAAAAAUGGUUGAAUGGAGCAAAUAAAAUUGUUUUACAAGAUAGGAUCAAGAUGACUGUUCAAAACAAAUAGAUUGCUAUCAACAUGAGUUUUACUUGUAAUUCAGAAGUGCACCUGAAGGGGAGUUUUAAAAGUAGGAGAUAGAUGGACCAAACGUGGAAGCACAGCUUCUGCGGAAGCACCAAAGGGGGUGGGAAUCCCCCCAAUAUAAGCAAAUUUAUGGAUUUGAAUGAAUUUAUUGUAGCACAUAAUGAGUGGACUAGCUGGAAGCAUUAUCAGAGAAGGGGAGAAACCUCAACCUCCAUAGGGUCACUACAACAUUAGAGAAGGAAAGAAACCUCAACCUCCAUAGAGUCACCGCAACAUCAAAGAAGGAAAGAAACCUUGACCUCUGUAGGGUCACCACAACAUCAGAGAAGAGAGAAAACUUCAACCUCUAUAGGAUCACUACAACAUCAAAGAAGGGGAAAAAUCUCAACCUCUACAAGAUGACCACAACAUUGGAGAAAGGUGGAAACCUCAACCUCCAUAGGAUCACCACAACAUCAGGGAAGGAAGGAAACUUCAACCUCCAUAGUGACACUAUAACAUCAAAGAAGGGAUGAAACCUUAACCUUAAUAGGGUCACCACAACAUUAGAGAAGGGAAGAAACCUCAAUCUCUAUAGGAUCACCGUAAUAUUAGAGAAGGGAGGAAAUCUCAACGUCUAUAAGGUCACUAUAACAUAAGAGAAGGGAAGAAAUCUCAAAUUCCAUAGGAUCAGUGCAAUAUCAGAAAAAGGAGGAAACCUCAACCUCCAUAGGAAUACUAUAAUAUUUGAGGUACAAAAGAAAUUAUCUUGCAGAGAUAUCAAACAAUCAAAUAUAUGAUAAUAAGAAUGUAUGAAUUGAGCAAUGACUUUCCCAUUUGGUUGGCAUCUAUCAUUCUAAUAUCAACCUCAAUCAAAGUAAAAUGUUUAGAACUUGAUUUAAGUUUUUGACAAGCUCUACUAUAGUGGGGACUUGUGUAAUACUAAGACCAUUGUAAUUCACUGCUGAAAUACAAUUGGAGAGAAUCCUUUUCUCAUAAAGUGCUUCAUCUAAUACUCUAAGGUGGAUAACAAGAGAACUAUCUAUUCAUCUUAUAAUAUUUUUUUAUAAAUGGUUUAAAAAGCAAGGUAUCUUAAGUGAACUACUUACUUCACCCCUAUCCUUAUAGCCAUUCAAUAAAACCAUCACUUGACAAAAUCUGAGGAUAGAAAUUUCACUAUAUCAAUGAUACUAAUAAUUUUAUUAAUAUCAUGAAAUAUUGUAGCAAGCUCGUCAAAAAAGAAUAUGCAAGCAAUUAGAUACUCCAUCCACUCUUGUACCUACAUGAAGGUUUUUGAAAUGUUGCAAAAUGUAUAAGGCCUCAAUGACUUGGCCAAAGUAAAAAUUAUUUUAAAAUACAUAUUUUUGGAUUAAAAGUAUUAUGUUUUUAAGAAUACAAAUUGAGGGAACAAAAAGUAGAAAAGUUCUCUAAUAGAAUUUGGCUAGGAGUCAGCUUCUACAUAUAUGAUGUUACAAUAACAUACAAUAAUAAAGAAUAUAAUAUAACAAAGCUAAAAGGUGAGAGAUUUGGAUGUGGAUCUUUUUUCAACUCCAAUUCUUAAUCAUAUCCUUUCACUACUUUCAAUUUGGAAGGGCAUAAUGGAUCAAAUUAUAUAACAUUCUUUGAAAAGAUUUAACUAUAUUCAAUAUUUUUGCCCCAUAGUUUGGCCAAUAAUGGUGCAAAUUUUGGAUAAAGCUUUUGGUAGAAUUAUCUAAGGACUUUGUGAGGAUAAUAUUCACCUCUCAACUCAAAUUACAAGUUGGCUUCAAUUAAGAGUUGCUUAUAAUUGGUGGUAUUAAGUAAAAGUAAUAAGAAAUAAGAAUAAAGAAAAAUAAUACAAAACAAGUGAAGCAAGUGUAAUCAAAUAAUUGUACACUACAAAACUAGUUAUAGUUUGUUAAUUAGAUUUUUAUCUAAUAAAAAAUAAAAGUAAAAAAUAAAAAAUAUAUUUUUAAUCAAGUAAUUUUUUAAAUAUUUCUAAUGACAUAAAAAAAAAAUAAUUUCAAAUUACUAUGAGUAAUUUAUGAUGUAUUAAAGAUAGAAUUUAAAUAUUAGAAAAAUUAAAUAAAUAAUUUUUAUCUCAAGGAUAAUUUGCUUAAAAGAUCAAGAAUUUGAGCCUCACCAAGGCUCAUAAGUAGUGUAUAUGAGUUGUUAAAAGAGGCCACAAGUCCUUCGUCUUAUCUUCCUACUUAUAUCCAAGGUGCUACAAUCCAUAUGGAACUUGUGUACAUCUUUUUCUAUAAAGAUUAGACUAGCUACUGGUCCUCCUAUUUCCUUCUAGUAAAACUAAUAUUUUUAUAUUUUUGACUUUUCUAUGGUAUUUAAAAAUAACCAAUUAGCAUAGGAACCUUUUAUGACCUUCGAAUCUUGCUUCAUUUCUUCAUAAUGGCUCCUAAAGUGGCAAAACUCAAUUUUAUCAAGGUCUUGAAAUUUUCUAUAAAAUUUUCUAAAAAAAUCUAAAUAAAUUCUAAAAAAUAAUAUAAUAUUUUUAUAAUACUAAUAUCUAUUCAAGUCUAUAUUUUUUUUUUACCUUAGUGAUAUUUUAUAGUAAUAAAAUCAAUUUAUAUCUACUAAAAAUCUUUUUUGUUAUAUAAUUAAUUAGAAAGACAUGAAGUUCUCCUCAUGCUUCUUCUAACUACUAAUUAAUUAUUGAUAGGAACUUUAUAAGUAAUAAAUGUAGAUAGGAGGCCAAUAAAGACAUUGGUCUCAAUAAAUAAUGCUUCAUACUUAAUAAUAAAUAAAAAUACUAAAUUGACUAAGAUAAUUACCUCCAAGACUUAUUAAGACUCUAUCUUUAUGACUUUUCUUUCAAUAAGACUUUUAUAACUUAUAAAUAUCCUGAAUUCUAAUAAAUAAUUAAAUCAUAAAAAAAAUCUAAUCUUAAUAUUUAUAUAAUAGAAUGAUUUAAUUUUUAUUUUUAAGUAAUCCACCAAUUUAGAUACAUUAGUGGGACUCAGAGACUCCAAAUGGCUACUAGUGAGGGCUUUGAAUUUUGUUGAAAGAUGCACCAAUAAGUCUAGUGGUGAAGAAUCUACAAUAUUGAAACACAAACUUAGAAUUUUUCAUUCUUUCAUGUGAGCCUUAUAUAUAGAGGAUUUCUUCCCUCUAUCUAAUAAUAGCUUGUUUUUGCUAGGACAACAAAAGAAGAAUAAGCUGGCAGUUCAUUGCUUGUUUAGACAUUGUAUAUUCCUUCAUAAUUUUUGAAUAGACUAUUAUAAAAGCUGCAUAUAGAAUUUGUAGAGAUAGCAUUCAUUUUAAUCAUCUUCUUAUAUAGAGACAAGUUCUACUUCAAAAAAAGGUCCAUGACAAUUUGUAUAUGUAAUGAAUGCAAAACACCCCUAGAAGACAAAAAUCUAGCUAUAGAUCUAAUUAUAAUAUUCUUUAUUCGCUCUUACUUUUUUAAUUCUAAAAAAUACAAAUAAGUUCUAUUAAAAUACUUAAAAACUUAAGCAAAAAUCAUCUAUAUAAGCCCUUUAAUUUUCCUUAGAGUUAAGGCCAAAUUAGCUUCAAAGGCUUCUAAUAGUUGCAUGGUGGCCUUAAGUUGUGUCAUGACUCGAUUGAAGGAAGUUUGACAUCCUAAUGUUUAUCCGUUAGAAUCUUUCUUUUGGAUACAACGUAUUAUUUGUCCAUAGUCACUUCUUCUUAAGAUGUUCUCUUUUUCAAGGUGUCAAAGCCUACAUGGGCAUCUUUGCUUAGGACACUACUCUUGACUUAACUUAAAUCAAAAUCAAAAUCAAACAAGUUUCAAUCAUUAUAACUUUUUGUUGCAAUAACCUAUGAUGCUAAUACUCUGAUGCUUUGGAGCUAAGUUUUGGCUUAUUCCUUAAGGUACCUAAGACUAAGCUUACAAUAUCUAAAUGACUCUACUCCGAGUUGUACUUCCAUUCAAUUUAGAAUUUGAGAUAGGUGGUGGUCCACCUUUAUAUAGCUUUCUUUUGCAAGAUAAGCUAUUGCAUUUAUUUUUAUAAAAGUUUUUUUUAUCUAACAAGCGAUUCAUAGUCAAAAAAAAAAAAACAACAACAACAACAACAACAACAACAACAACUAUGUAAUUGUCAUAGAUAUAUAUUUAUUGUAAUUAUUACUUAGAUAGUAUGAAUAGAUGGAAGUAAAUAAAAAUAGAUUAAUUUUAUAAUAUCUUCUAAAAAAAAGCUUUUUAGAAGCUUCAUAGAUACGAUUUUUACUUUACAUGUGUUUGUAAUUGAUUAGUAGGUUAGAAACUUAGUCAACAAGUUAAUCACAUGCCAUAUAUGUUGAAAACUUAUAAAAUAAGCUAAGUAUGUGGAAUCCAUAUAAAUAACUUAUCUUGCAAGUUAAAAUACAUUGUUGUAUUAUAUGUGUUCUUGCUUGAAAAUGCAUUGGGUACCUAAUUGAAGAAUGUAAGUAGAAAUGUAAUAAUAAUCCUACUAAGUCUAAUAGAAUAUUAAAUAAAAUUUAUAUAAAUCUUAAUAAUCCUAAUCAAAUUUUGACCAAUCUAAAAUAAAUUUAAAAGAAGUUACAAAAGAAAUAUGAAAAUAAAUCUUUAAAAAAAUAAAAAUAAUCUUAAAGAAAUAUUAAAAAUAAAAAUAUUUAAAUAAAAAAUAAAGAAUCUUAAAUAAAUACUAAAAAUAGAAAUCUUAAUUGAAUCUCAACCAAAUUCAAGGUCAAAACCUAAUUUAAAUCUUAAUUGAACCUUAAUCACAUCCUAGAUAUAAUCUUAAUGAAAUCCUAAUAAAAUCUUAAACCAUAGAAAAAUCUUAGAAAAAUCCUAAUCAAUCCAUAGUCAAGUUUUAAAUCAAAUUCUAAGAAAAUCCUAAUCCUAACCAAACUCUAAACCAAAUUCUAAGCCAUAAUCAAACCAUGGGCAGAUUCUAAACUAAAUCCUAUAGCAAAAUGGAAUCUCAACAACUAAUGAUGAAAUUAUUAAUAUCACUUCAAAAUUUGCACACUUCUUAAUGUUUUAGUUAAAAAUAAGUAAAAGAAAGAUAAAAUUGAUUUUACUUUUAAAUUGAGAGAAAUAUAAGAUAAUCCAAUCUAGCAUUGGAUGGCCUCUUAUUCCAACCUAAAUGUAGAACAUUUAGCACCAAUUCCUCUUUAAAUUUUUGAAUUGCUUUCAAAUUUUAUCUAAACAUUUGAAAUCAAAUCUAAUAUCCACACAAAGAAAAUUCACCUCAAUCCAAUUGCUAGAUUACUAAAGAUCUUAGAAACACUUAGUGAUCCUCAAAUUCAAAUUUGUGAGACCUUAAUUCAUAAAAACCUUCACAUAUUUCAAUCUAAUUAUUUGAUUGACCUCAAAUUUACACACAUAUUUACAACUAGUACACUAAUAUAUUAUUCAAAAUUUAAUUGUAUACUCACCACAAAACUCAAGAAACUCUUAAAUUUAUAGAAGUCCCCUCUAUAAAAAAGUAACAUUAAGACUAAAUCUUUUAUUAUCUUUCUAUCUUUUAUCUUUAUUUUUUUACUAUAUCUUUUUGCUAGGCUCUUCUAUAAUAAUAUCCAUAUUUUUAUUAUUCACCAUAUAAUCAUAUCAUUACACAAUAACAUUUGAGUACUAAAAAACUAAAAAUUGCCUUACUUAAGAAGUUUGAUGGUACAAGAUCAAAGUUUUAAGAAUUCAUCAAUUAAGUAAAAUUAGCAAUUGAACUUGAACUCUAAAGCUAUCCAACUCCAAGAUCACAAGUCAGAUUUAUUGAAACAAUACUUUUUGAUUCUGUAUUAUCAUGGUUUUUAUCUUUUUUUGAACAAAAUGAUCUAAUAUUAGAUAAUUUAAAAUCUUUUUUGGUAAAAUUUUGAUCUAUAUAUAGAAAAAAUGAUGCAAUUUAUAUUAUAAUAAAUAAGAAUCAUAUUUUGUAAUAAGAAAAUUAAUAUAUAACAUUGUAUGCUAUAUAAUAUUGAUAAUUUAUGAUUGAUAUCAAGUGAAAUAAUAUUGCACUCAUUAAUCAAUUUUUUCAUGAAUUAUAAUAUGAAGUAAAGAAAUUGAUGCUCAAUUUACCUAAUCCUCAAAUAUUAAGUCAAGUAAUUGAUUUUGUUGUAAAGUGUGACAAUUGACUUUUAAAAUUUUGGUUUGAAAAUAACAUAAGUAAAUCUUAAUGUUAUUACAAUUCAAUGGCAACAUUAAUAUCUUGUCAACACAUACCUUCAAAAGUAGAGGAUAUAUAAAUUAAUUUGAUUUAUUUCAAACCUCUUAUUCAAAAAAAAGACUCAUUAUCAUUAAGAAGGAUUAUAUUUAUAUUAUGGAGAACCAAAGUACACUAUUCAAUAUUAUUUAAAGAAGCAACGUAAUUAUAAAAUAAAAGUAUAAUUAUCAAAGAAGACAAUAUGUCAAAAAAUAAGUUUGUCUAGCUAUAAUAGAGAUUCUAUAAUUGGAACUUUGUACAAUACCUAAUGAUGGUCUUAUUCUUUCUUCAUAAUUCUUUCUUUAUUUUACAACAGAUAUUAGUUUAGGACCUAAACAUCACAAAUCCUAUACCCUGUUAAAUUUAAGAGCUUUAACUUAUUUUUCAAAUGAAGAGUUUGUUAAAAGACAUAACAUACCUUUAGAAAAAAAAAAAAACAAAACUUGUUCAUGUAGAAGUCAUAGAUGAUUGUCCAUUGUCUUUUGGAGAUGUUAUUUAUGAAAUAUUUCUUCUAAAAGUAGUAAUUAACAAUCAUAGUAGCUUUGUAGUAUUUAAUAUCAUUAAAUCUUUUUAUAAUCUAGUUAUUUUAAAUUUAUCAUGAUUAAAAAAAUAUAAUCAUUGAAUAGAUUGGAUUUCUUGUAGUCUUGACUUUUUUAAAAGUGUAAAAAAGAUGUAGCGAAUUAAAUAGAAAGUUAUAAGUCUAAUACAAUCAAACCUGUAUUUGUAGGUGUAAGAGCUUUCUUGUAUGCUGUAAAAAAAAAUCACCUUGUGUUAGUUAAACCACAUCUAUUUCUAAUGGUGAAAAGACUUCAAAUGGCAUUCUUAGUCAAUAUUAAGAUUUUAAAGAUAUAAUUAAAAAGAAGAAUCUAGAUUUUCUUCCAAAUCAUCAUUUCUAUGAAUAUUCAAUUGACCUUUAAGAAUGAGCUCAACUACUAUUUGGACCAAUCUACAGUUUAUUAUAAAAUGAAUUGAUUAAAUUCAAAGAGUAUAUUAAAGAGAAUUUAACCAAGCACUUCAUGCGCUAUUCCAAAUCUCUCAUAAGAGCUCCAAUUUUAUUUUAGAAGAAAAAAAUUGAUCAUUAUAGAUGUGUUUUGAUUAUUAGAGACUUAACAAGAUCACCAUAACAAACAACUAUUUGCUAUCUUUAAUAUUUGGACUUUUUGUUCAAUUAAAUCAAGUUAAGAUCUAUAUAAAAAUAGAUCUACAAGGAGCAUAUAAUCUGGUAUGUAUCAAAAAAAGAGAUGAAUGGAAGAUUGUAUUUCAAACAAGGUAUAGACUCCAUCAUAAGUCUAUCAUUUGAAAUAAUGUAUCGUAAAAAAUUAACUUCAGUAGUAUGAAAUAUAUAUUUUUUUUAUCUUGAUAUAGAAUCUUGUAUCUCUUAGUUUUUUGUAACACAUAACAAACAUGAAAUUCAUAUUUUUUUGAAUUCUUAAAAUAGAUUAAGUUAUCUUCUAGAUAGCAAAAAAUAAAAUUAUCCAAAAACUCUCAAAAGACAUCAUUUAUUAGAUGUUAAAAAGUUGCUAGUAUAUUUGUAAGUCUAAAAGACAUGACAUUAUAUUCCAUUUUAUGUGAAAACAGAUGUAUUAAAUUUUGUUUUAUGUUCCAUACUAUCACAAAUAAGAAUAGAUGAUAAAUUUCAUUCUAUAACUUUUUAUUCUAGAAAAUUUUAGCAGCUAAAAUAAACUAUGAGAUUUAUAAUAAAGAAUUUCUUAUAAUUGUGGAUUUAUUUCAAGAAUGGCACUAUUAACUAGAAGGUACUCUUAGUUUAGUCACUAUAUAUAUAAAGUAUAAGAAACUUGAGUAUUUUAUAUCAACAUGCAUUUUGAAUCAUCAUUAAGCCUAUUGGAGCAUGUUCUUAUCAAGAUUCAAAUUUAAGAUCAUUUAUCAAUUACAUAAAUAACAAUAUUUAUUAGAUACACUUUCUAGACAAUCAUAUCUUGUACCAAAGAAAAGAGAUCUACUUUUGAUCAACAACAAAUAAUUCUCUUGAAGCUAAAGUAUUUUUAUCUUUGAAUAAUGAAAUCAAUACUAAUUGUUUAUUCAACUUUUAUUUUGCAAGUUCAAUCAAUAUUUUUUGAUAUUCUUAUUUGUGAUAUUAAAAAAAAUCCUUCAAAGUUUCAUGAUACAUCUAAGUUUGAAUUCAAAUAUAAUUUAUUAUAUUUUGAGAGGUGCUUAUAUAUUCCAAAAGAUGAAGCUUAAUUAUGUAUUUUUUAAACUCAUCAUGAUUUUUUGAUAAUAGGACAUUUUGAAUAUAAUAAGACUUUAAAACUAAUAUCUAGGAAUUUUUAGUAGCCUCAAAUAUAGAAGAUGAUCAAAGAUUUUAUACAAUCCUAUGGUAUCUCUUUAAGAUCAAAAAUUCCUUAUCAUCAACACUAUAGACUUCUUUAGCCAUUAUCUAUUCCAAAAUAAUCAUGAUUUUCUAUUUCUAUGGAUUUUAUCACGGAUCUUCCAAUCUUAGGUUCUUGUCAUUCUAUAUUUGUGAUAGUAGAUUGUUUCAUUGAGAUGGCAUAUUUGUACUUUGUAUCAAAUCUAUCAUAGAUAAAGAAACAACUAAGAUUUUUUUUGACAACAUCUAUUACUAUCAUAUAUUAUCUAAAUAUAUUAUAUUGAAUAGAAAAAUUUAAUUUAUAUUAAGAUUUAAAAAAUACUUUUUAAGAUUCUAAAGAUGGACAUAAAACUAUCUUUGACUUUCUAUCCUCAAAUUGAUGAAUAAAUAAAGCAUGUAAAUCAAGUUUUAGAGCAAUAUUUGAAAUAUACUAUUAAUUAUUAAGAAGAUGAUUGGACAAUUUUUUUACCAUUGGAAGGAUUUUCUUAUAAUAAAAAUAAAAUCAUCUAUAUAAUAAAUAUUUUUAUUUUUUAAUUAUGGUUAUCAUAUACAACUUGAUAUUUUUGACUUUUCAAAAGUUAAUAAUCUUGAGAAAAAAGAUUUAAAAAAUUAUUUAUCUAAGCUACAUACAAAAAUAAAGGUAAGACUAAAAGAGGCUCAAAAACAACAAAAGAACAAUUCAAAUGCCUAUUGCAAGAAACAACUUCAUUUCUACAUUAGUGAUAAGAUAUGAUUACUUUGUCAUAAUAUUAAAACUAUUUAUCCUUGUGACAAGUUAGAUUACCAUAAACUUGGAUCAUUUCUUAUUUGUGAAUAAGUCAAUCUAGUUAUUUAUUGAUUACAUCUAUUAGACUCUAUAAAAAUCCAUCUCAUAUUUUACAUAUCUUUUUUAGAGCCAUAUAAGACAAUGAAUAUUUUAGGAAGAAGAUAAAUACCAUCGCCUCUUAUAGAAAUAGAUAAUAAUCAAAAAUUCAAGAAAGAAGAAAUUUUAGACUCAAGAUGGCAUUGACAUAGGUUAAAAUAUCUUCUUCAUUAGUAUGGAUACAAUAUUAAUAAAUACAUAUGAAAGCCAGCAAAAAAUCUUACAAAUGUAGCAGAGAAGGUCAAAGCUUUUUUCAUCAACAACAUCCACGAAAACCAAGAUGAAAGAUAAAAAAAGCUUUGCUAUAAAAAGAAAAUUUAAAAAGAUUAUAUUUUAUUUUCUAUCUUUAUUUUUAGUUUCUACAUAAUUCUAAUAUUAAGGAAAUAAAGAACCAACAACUAGUAGAUUCAACUAAAGAGCUAUCAUUUAUUGACUUAUUGAAUAAGAAAUUGUGAUUAUUAUAGCCUUCAAGAGAAUAUUCAAGUCCUUCAAAAACAACAUGUUCUUUCUUGAAUAAAUAGCAAGAUACAACGUAUUUGGUAUUACAAUAUGAUAUUUCAAUAUUUGGUGAUUGUAUUAGAAGUAAAAAUGACUCUUGAUGGUAUUACAAAUUUUUCGUUUGAAAAAAGUUAUGAAGGUCUCAAUAAUGAUUAAAUAAUAGUGUGGUCUUCUUGCCUUGAAAUAAGAUAUUAUCAAUGGCUACAAGGACCUAUCAACUACCUUUGAAAGGAAUAAAGAUUAGAGUAUGUGGUAAAUACAAUUUGCUUCAUCUUAGAUUUCCUCAACAUGUAGUCAUCACUUUUUUAGAUCUUGACUUUAAAAGAGGAAGUAAUGUCACUAAUAUAAUAUUUAUUAUAAUUAUUAUUUAAAUAAUAUGAAUAGAUAUAAGUAGAUAAAAAUAGAUUAAUUUUAUAAUAACUUCUAAAAAAGCUUCUCAGAAGCUUUAUAGAUAUUAUUUUGACUUUAUAUGUAUUUUUAGUUGAUUGAUAGGUUAGAAACUUGAUCAAUAAAUUAACGACAUGCCAUACAUAUUGAUAGCUUAUAGAAUAAGCUAACUAUGUGGCGUCCAUAUAAAAAACUUAUUUUGAAAGUUAAGAUAUGUGUUGUACAAAGUCAAUACAUUUUUGAGGUCCUUUAGAAUAUUGCUACAUAACUUUUAAGUAGAUAGUAUAUAUAAACAUAAGAAUAAAGCCUUUUUCACUCUUAUUAAUUUAUUUCUUCCUUCUAGUCUAGUUUUAAGAGUCUUUGGUUUUCUUAUCUUUUGACUAUAUCCAUUUUAGUUUCUUUUUUAAUAUACAUAUUUCUUUAAUUUUAUUUUAUUUUACUUCUUUAAAAAAAUCUUACUUCUUUAUUUAUUUUUAUUAAGUCUUUAUUCUUGAUAGAAAUAUGAUAAUAGUAAUUAAAAACUUAUAAGAAAGUACAAGAUGCUCUUAAAAAUAAGCUUGUUGUAUAAGUUAUCUAGACAAGUUAUAUGAAAUAAAAAAGAAAAAAAAAAUUAGAAGGCCAAUCCAUUUGUAGUGAGUUAAAAUAAAAAAAGUAAUAUAAUCAAGGAUCAUAAGACUUCUUUAUUAUCCAUUACAACUUGCAAAAAUAAAAUAAGUCUUGUUUGUAAUACAUGUAAGAAAAUUUCUUGGCUUAGAUGGAAGAAUGUUGAAAUUUUAAAUAAUUUUUUGGAUUAUGUUUGAUUUUUUUUAAAUGCUUAAUAAAAUCAUCUUAAAAAAUAGCCUACCUCCAAGGAUUAUCAAAAAUAUGAUACUUUUAAUUUACAAAAAUUUAUUUAAGCAAAAAUUGAUCAAUUAAUGAUUGAUCAUAUUAUUAAAUAAAAAAGAAUAGAUAUUUAUUCAAAAUUAAUAUAAUAUUGAAACUAUAAUGGCAUUGUUAAAGAUAAGAAGACUAAAGAGCCUUGAAACAAGACUAAAGAUUUAAAAAUGCAUUCAAAAGAAUAAAGAAGGAUUCAUUUUUGCCUCCAAAUAUACUAUCUAACUAAGAAUUAUGUAAAAAUAUUCUAUAAGACCUCUAAUAUAUAUCCAACUUGCAAGAUACAUAUUUAAUUUUUAAGUCAAGUCUCAUAUAUGUACAUAAUAUAUUUAGCUUAUAUCACAAUCUACUAAUAUGUGCUAACAUGUAGCUAAGUUCUUAGCCAAAUUUUUAAUCUAUCAAUCAACUAUAAAUAUAUCUAAAGUCAAAUUCAAAUCUAUGAAGCUUUUAAAAAGCUUCAUUAAAAGAUAUUAUCAAAUCUAUCUAUAUUUAUCUUCUAUCUAAUACUUCUUAUUUAGAUAAAUAUGUAUGUUUUUGAUAUUACUCUCUUUUUUAGGAUCAAGUUUCAUAAGGAAUAAUAAUCAUAUGUUGAAAAAGUUUAAAAUGUCACAAAUUUUAUUUGCUAUUUAUUUUGAUCUUUCUUUUCUUUGAAUAUAGUUAAUAUAUCCUUUCAAUUAUUGAUAGUAUUUUAUAUCAAAGUAAGAAGACCACCCUAAUAUUUGAAUACUAUUGAUGUUUUUAUAACUCCUUUUAAAUAAAACAUUUAGAACAUUGUCCAUCAGAGGUGGUUCCUACCUCUAAAAAUAUCACCAAACAUCAAGAAUCUCUUUCAAGAUUAAUCCAACUUAUUAUAAUAUCAAGACUAUUUGUCUUUAUAAUAAUCCAACUUAUUAUAAUCAAUUUUGAAUUUUCAAAAGUUGAUAAACUUAUGGCAAAAGAAUUAAAAAAUUAUUUAUCAAAGCUUCAUGCAAUAAUAAAGGCCCAAUUAAAAAAAAAAAAAAAAAAAAAAAAAAAAAAAAAAAAAAAAAAAAAAAACCCCCCNNNNNNNNNNNNNNNNNNNNNNNNNNNNNNNNNNNNNNNNNNNNNNNNNNNNNNNNNNNNNNNNNNNNNNNNNNNNNNNNNNNNNNNNNNNNNNNNNNNNNNNNNNNNNNNNNNNNNNNNNNNNNNNNNNNNNNNNNNNNNNNNNNNNNNNNNNNNNNNNNNNNNNNNNNNNNNNNNNNNNNNNNNNNNNNNNNNNNNNNNNNNNNNNNNNNNNNNNNNNNNNNNNNNNNNNNNNNNNNNNNNNNNNNNNNNNNNNNNNNNNNNNNNNNNNNNNNNNNNNNNNNNNNNNNNNNNNNNNNNNNNNNNNNNNNNNNNNNNNNNNNNNNNNNNNNNNNNNNNNNNNNNNNNNNNNNNNNNNNNNNNNNNNNNNNNNNNNNNNNNNNNNNNNNNNNNNNNNNNNNNNNNNNNNNNNNNNNNNNNNNNNNNNNNNNNNNNNNUCAUAAGAAUUUGAAAUUGAUAGAUCCAUAAUAAAAUCUAUAGAAACAAAAGACCAUGGUUGUUUUGAAAUAAGUAAUGGUAGAAAAAGUCCAUAAGAUCAAUGACAAGGGAUUUUUAAUUUUAAACAAAUAUCAUAUGAUUGUACAAAGUCUUUAACUACUUUCACAUUUGAGGCCACAAAAAAUCAAUAGAUAUUAAUUUCAAAAUCUUGUUAUAUCCAAAAUAUUUUAUAGUAGAAAAAUUGUGAUAAGCUUGAAGAAUAUGUAAUCAUGCUUUAUUUUUUGAAAUAUAUAAGUUUUCUUCAAAAUAGAAUAGAUUAUUCUUGAAUUCAAACUUAGAAGUAUCAUGAAACUUAAAAGAAUUGUUUUUAAUAUCAUAAAAAAAAAUAGAAAAUAUACUCAAUUGAACUUGCUUAAAAAAAAUAAAUCAAUAAUCAAUGUUGAUUUUAUUGCUCAAAGAUGAAAAUAUUUUAAUUUUAAGAGAAUCAUUUUUAUUAAUAAAAAAUUAUAUUUCUUUCUUUUGGUACAUAAUAAGAAAAUCCAGAUAGAGUAUCUAACAAAUCUUAUUAUUUUUAUAAUAGAUAAAUAAUCUUUAAAUCAAAUCUUCAUAAAAAUAUACUCCAACAAGCUUAACAACAAUUUGAAACAUGUGUUGAUAUGAAAUAAUUGAGAUUUUUGUGAUUCAUAUAUAUAAUGAUUAGAAAAAAAAACAUCUUAUAAAUAAUGAUGCUAUUCUUGAAAUAAAUCCAUAAUUUUAAGAAAUUUUUUAUUCUAGAUCUUGUAGUUGAUUUUGACUAUUAAAAAUUUUCUUGAAUAGAAAGCUAUUGGAUAGAGUUUGUCAUUUGCUCUCAUUUGUAAUAAUACCAUAUUUAAGGCAAAAUUGGAUAUAUUUUUUUCUAUAAAAAAUAUCUUCGAGAAGCCAAUACAAUACAAAAUUGAUUCAAAAAUAAAUAUUAUUUUUAAAGCUUCAAAUGAUGCUUGAGCUUCUUUACUCUACUUAAGUUUAUUUUUAUAAGUCAAAUGUAUUAGGUGGAGAUAUAAAUUGAAAAAAAAUCUUGAUAAAGAUUUGAUAAUAAUUGAUAAAUUUCAAAAAAUAUUAUAUAUUUUUUAUUAUUCUUAAUAUCUUUUAAUCUAUAAUAGCUUGGAGCCUCUUAAGAUCCAUUAUAAGACUAUUAUUUGAAAUAAUGUAUCCUAAAAAGUCAACUUAAGUAGUGCAAAAUAUACACUUUUCUAUCUUAGUAUAUAGUCAUACAUUUCUUAAUUUUUAUAACAUACAACAAACAUGGUAUUCAUAAUUUUUUAAAUUUUUAGAUUAGAUUAAAAUAUUAUUUAAAUAAAAAAAUUAUUAAGAAAUUUAUAAAAAAUAUCAUUUUUUACAUAUUGAAAAGCCAUUAGUAUAUUUGUGAGUCUAAAAGGCAUGACAUUAUAUUUAAAAUAUCUAUACUUAGUUUGAAAUGCAGUCUUUUAUUAAUUUUCUUCUUUAAUAUGAAGUUAUUUGUAUAUUUUUUAUAGAUUAAUUUUUGUAAAGAUCUUUUUUUGAUUGAAUUGAUCUAAAAAUCUUAAAAUCAAAGUUAAAAGAUACAUAUUUUUGAUAGUAAUCAUAUUGAAUCCUUGAUAGUCUACAUACAUAUGCAAAGUUUUAUUUUUUUUUCUUCACAAAUAAAAUAAGAGAUCCUACUAGACAAUUUGAAUGGUGUAUGAAAUUCUUGGCCAAAUUAUUGUCAAUGUAUUCAUUGAGUGUAGCCAACUUGUUUUAUGAUAAGCUAUAGAUUGGUCUAAAUGACAAUUAAGUUUCAUCUAAAAGAUCAAUUUAAUAAUUUUAGGGAUGAUACUCCAAAAGAGUAUUUGCAUUUCUCUUCUAAAAAAUUUCAUGGUAACAAGCUACUAAUACAUACAACACAUGACUAACUUGGCCAAGUUUCUAACCUACCAAUCAACUACAAAUACAUUCAAAGUAAAAUCUACAUCUAUAAAGCUAUUAAGAAGCUUUUCCUUAAGAUAUUAUCAAAUCUAUCUAUAUUUAUUUUCUAUCUAAUAUUUCAUAUUUAGGUAAAUAUAUAUGUCUUUGAUAAAUUUCUAGUGGCUUAUUGUAUCUACAUAGAAAAAUUAAUUAUGAAUAAUAUAUAUGGAAGUAAACUAUUUAGAUCUUUAUUUGGUUUAUUUUUUAUUUUUUAUGUUGUGAAUAAAUUUAUAAAAACCUAUAUAUAAAAGAAAUUUAAUUAUUGAUGCAUUAUUCAAAUUAAUGCUACUAGUAGAUGGAUGAUUAUUAAUAAUAUUUUAUUUUCAUUGCUAUUUUUCUUCAUAUUGGUAUGAAGGAGUACAAAGCAAUGUAUUACAAAAUUUAAGGCCUCUUUAGGUAUUUAUCUUGCCUAUAGGACUAUAAAGUGUUUAAGAACAAAAGUUAGAUGGCACCAAUAUUGCCAAUUCAAAGCCAAAUCAAGCAUCAAUCUUAUAUAUUCAAAAGACACUAUCAUAUAAGAUAAUUUUUUAUUUGAAAAUAUACUAGAUAUCUAGCUGUAGAGAGUUUAGUUUUAACUUCUUGGACAAGUUCCAAUAAAUGAUGUAUUCUUAUUAUAGAGGCCAAAUAAAUAUAAUAGUAUCAAAAGAUAUUUUACUGAUAAAAUCUUUUUAUAUUUAAGAAGCUUUACAUAUAAGGCUUUCUAAAGAAUCUAGUAAUGUCCUAAUAUCCUUUGCUAUACCAAAUCAUAACUAAUUAAUUUCCAAUGAGUUUGAUUUCCCAUAAAUUCAAAGAAAAUCCAUAAUCCUCUUACAAAAAUUUAUCUUUAUAUCAUGAAUUUUUCAAAGCUCCAUAUCUCCAUCUUUCACAUAUAUACAAAGUCUUGGCUUCCAAAAAUCCCUUUACUUUGCAUAAAAUAUCCAAAUUAUUGCAAAAUCCUUUCAAAACAUUUUUUUUCAAGAAAUUUUUUUUUCUCUUUAAACUUUAGAAAUUCAUAUCUCUUGAUAUGAAUAUUUAAUUUUUUCAAAUUUCUAGAUAAUACAGACUUUAUUUUAAAUUUUAUUACAAAAAUAAUGAACCAUAAAUCUACGAAAAAUCAUUAGAUAAAUUAGAAAUUCUAAUAGGUGCUUUAAAUCCUAAUUUACAAGUACCUGAGUACCAUUUUUUUUAUAUUUUAAUAAUUCAAAAUUUAAAUAAUACAAAAUUUAUGUAUAAAAUUUAGUAAUAUAAUAAUAUAUAUAUUUUUAGAAAUUUUUAGCCAAAAUCUUAUCAAAUUACUUAAGAUAAAGUUUAAAACACAACUAUUAGUAAAAUAGGUGACUUACUGCUCUUAGAUUGCAAGUAUUGACUUCAACUUCCUAUAACUCCUGUAUCUCACCUUAGAAUUAAUUAAGAAAUAUAUAAAAUCAUAUAAAAUUUGUACCAAAAUUAUAACCAAAAACCUAAAUUCUUUGAUCUUAGCCUCAUAAGUUUAAAUGGCCUCAAAAAAAUAACUCUAAUUCCUAAUAAGGCCAUAAGUAACCUCCUUAAAGUCCAUUAGACAUGAAUUUUGGCCAAUAAGAAGAGAAUUUUUUAUCAUCCAUCUCCAUUCAUCCAUACGAAUGUCCUAACUAUCCUUUUUUCUACCGAAAUUCCUCUCCAAUUCUUUUUUUUAUAAUAUCUACAUAAUAUAUUUCCUAAACUUCAAAUAAAAGAAACAUUUCUUUUUUCAAGAGUCACCAAUAUCUAAUAAAGGUGGCUCUAAAUAUAUAAAACUAUUAUCAAUAUAAAAUCAACCUCAAUAAUAGUUCUUUUAAAUUAACUACUUCAAAACAAUAAUCUAAUCACAUUUUGUAACCAAUUAAAUCUAAUAAUAUGACUUUUACUACAUUAUAUAGUAAAUUAUAUAUAUAUAUAUAUAUAUAUAUAUAUAUGCAUUAUUUUUACAUGGUAGCCAAAUCACAACAUAAUAAAGUCAUGAAAAUACUUAUAAUUAAAUGGAUUAUGAAACCAUUAGAAUGAAGUCAAUCAAAUCUUCAAUUCAAGUCAAUUAAGACUUUAGCUCAUAUUAAGAUAUAAAAUUUGAGAACUUUCAACCAUAUGCAAGUAGAAGAUGAUCCUUAAGCCUUAACUAUUAUAUUCUUUUGUCAUGUCAUAUUUAAAGAAAAUCAAUAGAAUGGAAUCAGAUAGGUAGAGCUUAAAUAAGAUUUUAUCUGAGGUUAUAUAUAUGCCUCUAAAAUAUUUGGAAGAAUUAUUAAGUAGCAGUCUUUAGUAUUGACCCAACAUCUCUUUGAUAAGCCCUAGAUUUUUUAAAUUAUGAGUUUUUCAUAUACAUAAAGCUAAGAUGCAAGUAUAUUAGGAUGUAUGGAACAAUCAGAUUUUUUACUUCUUUUGAAGUCACAAUUUGGUUUGGAUAAUAUAACAAUAAACCAAAUGCAUAGAGGCAGCUUGAAAAGAGCUACAAAUUACAAAGAGACACAUUCUAUGACAUAAAAUAAACUAGAUCUUAUUAAGUGAAUAGAUGAAUAUAUAUAUAUAUAUAUAUAUAUAUAUAUAUCUAUAUCUAUAUGUGUGUGUGUGUGUGUGUGUGUUUGUGUGUGUGUGAGACAGAAGAGGGUUUCUUUCUUCAUACAAUGAUGUAAUUUUGUUCCAAAUUUACACUUAUUUUAAAUAUGCUUUAUUAUUGGAUUCUUUGUUUGGUAAAGAUAUACUAAGUUAGUAAUUAGGAGAAUAUAAGCCAUAGUAUAAAGAACAAAAAAAGCUUCUUGAUAUUAUAAAAGAUGCAUCAGAUCCUAUUUGAGCAAAUACAACAAAGGCAAGUAUAAAUGUAAAUUUUUAUUUUUUUAUUACUAAAUAGAUAUACUAAAAUAGAAUCCAUGUAAGAUCUUAUUGCCAAAUAAUAUAUCUUUCUUAUAUUACUUUAUACAUAUGAGUCAAUGAAUGCUCAAAAAGAGACUUAAGAUUGUUGAGGAAGUAGAAAAGGAGUGAUGAAGGAUCUUUUUAGGAUUAUAUAAGUUGAGAUAGAAUAAUGUUUGGAAUAAGCAAUAGGUGCUUAUAGAGAGAACCUUCCUUUGGCUUAUAUUUCAUUGAUUAGUUGCUAUCAAUACAUGGUAUAGUCAAAUAAAAGACUCCAUCAAUUAAUGUUGUCUUAAAUGCCUCACAAGCAAGGACAAUACAAUGCUUUAUUAUUUUUGGAAGUAUUUUAGGACAACUAAAUCAUGACACUAGGAAUUUAGGAUCUUAAAAAAAGUAACAAAGUUAUAGAAUGUGCUCCAUUAUACACAAAAUAUGGUCCUAGGCAUGCAACAAAAUGCUAGGAAUAUAAACCAUGAUAAUUUAGCCAAUAGCCUCGUAAAUAUAUACAAAAGAUGUAGAUACUAAAAGAAGCAAUUCUAGUCAACUUGCAUGUCAAAAAGAAGGCCAAAGCACUAUUAUACAAGAACUUAGCUUUACAUGGAAAUAUGGCAUUUUUACAUAUAGGAUUAUGAGAAGGUUUAAUAAGAUAAAUGGAUUUUGGCUUCUACAAAGAGAGAUAAUAAUCUAGGACUUCUAAAUAGAAUGCAAUGAUGUAUCUUUCAAUGAUAGAAAUUAGCACAAUGAAAAGAUACAUAGUUUGUUGUGGCUGAGCUUCAUUGAUUGUAAGAAACUUGCCUAGGUAUUAAUCCGAUCCAAAAUUUAGAAGUUAUCAAAUAAAACAACAACUUUUUUAGCAAAAUUUCAAUAUUAAUGGAAUUCCAAUGAAUCAAUAGAUGUAUGGGAGUCAAAAGUUCUUAAAUAAAAAAUUAUUUGUCCUAAUCUAAGUUACCAAAGUCUUUAGUUAGAUCAUACUUAUGUAUAAGUCUUGGCUAGACUUAGUUAGAACAUUUGUAUUUUUUUAAACCUUUAUCUCGCAAUAUAUAUAUAUAUAUAUAUAUAUAUAUAUAUAUAUAUAUAUAUAUAUAUUUAUAUUUGUCAAAAAAAUAUAAAAUAUAAAAUAAAAUAAGAUAUAAGAAAUUUAAAACUUACCAUGAAAAUACUUCUCAUCAAAUCAUACUCUUAAUUGAGUCAUCCUUUCUUCUUCUAAUAGUCAAAACUUAAUAGCUAGUUAUAGUUCUUUUGAUAUGAUUGCAAAAGAACUUGACUUGCUUGCUAUGUAUUCUUUUGAAUAAGUCUGAUAGGAUUGUUAUUACUGCCUCCUUUACUUCUUUAAUAGAACAUUAGAAAUUUUACAAAUAAAAGAUCUAAAAUUCAAAUCUAGAUCUUAAAAUAAAUUAUUUUAAAGAUUAUGUAUCUCAAGUUAGAGAUCUAUGAAAAGAUUGAAUACUUAUAUUUAUUAAGCCUUUGUUGUAGUACUUGGCAAGAUGAAACUAAGCCAAGAGAAGUUUAGGAAGUUCACCAAUUGAUCCAUAUUUAUGAAAAUUAAAGACAUAUGGAACAAGAAAAUUAGUACUCGAAGCUACAUUGAUAUUAUUAGAAUUUAAUAUAUUAGAAGAUAAAAGUUGAAGACUUGAAUUGGAACAUUGAAUAAUAUUUGAUAUUAAUUUUGGUAUGAAUUUAGAAAGAAUGAUUUUAAUAUUAGAUUUUAAUGAUAUCUCAAUCAUUAUUUGCUCAAAUUCUAUAUUAGAGAUUGAAAAUGAUAGAUUACCUAAAGACUCAAGCACAUGAUUAUCUACUAGACUUAUUAAAAGAUUAUAUUAGUAAAUUUAUUAUUUAAAAAAAUAAUGAUGUUUUUGUUAUCAUUUCUUUUUUUUUAAUUUUUUUGUAAAAUUUUAGAAUAAUAUAGAAAUAUUUAAGUACUAAAAAUAAUAUAUAUAUAUAUAUAUAUAUAUAUAUAUAUAUUCUUGAUAUAUAUUCCAAGAUAAUAUCUUUUAAAUUUAUUCAAUAAAAAUCUAAAAUAUUUUUUGAAAUUUUAACUAUAUAGAGAAUUUUUAGACAUUAUGCCUUUUAUUUUAUUUUUGGACUAAACUCCUUUAGAGUUGUAUAUGAUAACACUUCUAAGUUUUGACCUAUAUUUUUUGGGCUAUUAGGAAUUAAAGAGAGGUGGGGGUAUAAAUAACCCCAAGGUUACUUUAAACUCCUAUGAAUGUACUCCUAUUAAAUUAUUCAACAAUUUUAUUAAGCCAUGUCUUACUCAAUACUUGGAAUUAUCACUUGAUCUUAAGCUUAUUCCAAAAAUCUCAUUUAAUGCUAUAGUAUACAUAUAUCACAAGCAAUUUUUGAGCAAUUUUUGAGCAAUUUUUGAGUACUUUAUGACAAAUUUAAUUCUAAUAGUGUUAUAAAUAAAGUUUUUUUUACAAAAAUCCUAAUUUUGGGCUUUUAUACCUCUACUUUCUUUAAUGAGAUAUUAAAAUAAAUGAUUUUUUUUAUAUAAUCACUUAGUAAUAAGAAAGAAAAUGGCAUAUUAUUAAUGUACCUAUACAUCAAUUUUUGCAAUAUUCUUCAAGUAUGAAAGAAUUGCUUCAAAUUCUCCAUUGAUUUUUGAAAAAGUCAAUACGUUUGUUAAUAAGGAAUUUAAAUCUUCUCACUAAAUUUUAUUUUAUUCUUGAAACAAGAAGGGCUAUAAGUGAGCUACUUUAAGAGAAGAAAAAAGUAAAAAGAGACUUGCCAAGAAGCAUUUACUUUAAAAUAGAACUUGAAAAACCAAAGUUGAGUAGGAUCAAUAAAAUAGAUAAUUAAGUCCUUCCUAUGAGUCUCACUUAUCUCUUUUAAAUGGUCUUUUCUUCAAUUGAAGUCGAAUGUCAUAGAAUAAUACUUUUGAAAAGAUAUAUUUUAAUAAAUUUUCUAAGGAAUUUGAAAAAAACUUCAAUAUUCUAUAUAUAAUAUUUUUUUAAAAAAAUCUUUCAACUUAAAUGUCUUUCUUUAUCUUUAUAGAGGGGCUAAAAAAACCAACAAAAAUCAACUACUUUGAAGACAUAGUAAAUUAUUGUUUAUCUAGUUUACAAAUAUUUAAUCUAAUUGCUUGUUUUAAAAAUUAGUAGAUCCAAUACUUUAUGUACUUUAGAUCCUAUAUAUUAAUCAUUUUUGCAAUGAUUUUAUUUUAAAUGUUUUGUAUUGGAUUUUAUUCAUUUUUAAAAUUUUUUAUAAUAUUUUAUUAGUCAUUAAAUUUAUAAUUAUAUUUGAUGUGAUUAGAUUAAAUAUAAUAUUUUGAUGCAAAAGAAAUAUUUCAAAAAAUUUCAACAACAUUAAAUCCCCAAAAUUUCAAUUAGCUCAAAAUUGUUAAUUUGUUACAUGUCAAUUUUAGGAUUUGAGUUUUAAGAGUCAAAUGUACCACUAUGAGUGCAUGUGUAAUUUAGACUAUUGGUAGUUACUACAAAUUUUUACACACAAAUACAAGAGUUUUUUGCCAAUAAAAAAUAAUUAAAUCCUAGAAAAAUAUUAAAGAAUUCUAAAAACUUAAUAUACAAGACCUGUAACCAAUUUUUUUUAAGUAAAUAAUAAAAUAAAUAAUAAAAAAUGAACAAAUAAAUUUACAAAUGAAAAUUCACCAACUUUAUAGUCCUUUCAAAACAUCUUAAUGCAAGAAUACAAUUAGGACUAAGCUUUUAAUUGCUUUGCCAUUCCAAUAGGACUCUAUUCUUUAAUUUUACAUAUGCUUUUAUGCCAAAAAUUGAAAAUGCAAUUUGAUACAUAAUACUAGGGCCUGUCAAAGUGCAUAUUAUUUUCUCCUCAAAACUUUGCUUCUAAGUAGGGUCAUUGGUCAUGAUGCCCUAUUUUUGUGUUCAUACCUCCAAAUCACCUUCACUAUGAAAUCCUGCUAUAAAUUACCAGUAUUAGUUACCUCCCAGUGUGCACCAUUCUCAGUUCAAUAGUGGCAUUGCCAUUUGUAACUGGGCCCCUGGCUUAAGGGAGCUGAUGUACAGGAUGUUGAGAAGUCCCAUCAUCAAAUUCAUUCAAUAUUCCAUUCUCUGACGCCCAUGUAUCAGAAUCAUCGGCAAUAUCCACCUUCCUGGCCAACAUUGUUCGUACACACAACACGGCCGUAUCAAGUAGUUGCACCUCCUCAACUUCCUCUUCGCUUGGAAGCAUCCUUGGAUCUUUCAGGUCUAGGAGCCUGUUCUCUUCAUUCAAUUUCCAUGCCUGCAAUAUCAGAAGUUAAUAAACCCAGAAUUCAUGUCAAUUAAUUAUGCAGGUGAUAUGAUUGAAAAAUGGUUACUUAAUGUUUCAUCACAAUUUCAGUAACCAGUGCUAUCAGUUCAUUACAAUAGCCCAACACAGGCUGAUUCAUCUGGUGAAAUGCAAUUGUGCGCAACCAUUGUAUGCAAACCAGCUGCAAUGAAGCCAGAAUGGAGGAAUGCAGACACAAAAUGGAACAACUGAAAUGGAAGGAGAAUUAUAGUACCCGAGUGGGCAGAUAUAUUUCGACCUCUGGCAUCGUGAGGUCUCUGUUUCGCUUCCCACUCACGAUCUCCAGCAACAGAACACCAAAACUAAAAACAUCCGCCUUAUGGCUUAACAUGCUAUGGCACAUGUAUUCCGGUGCCAAAUAUCCACUGCAAGUAUUGGAAUUGGCAUUUAGUUACAGUGAAUGACAAGACGAAUUAGCUGUGCAAAAAUCCUGAAGCUGCACCAUAAGGCACAAUUAGAAUUUCAGUUGGACACAGCUGAAUUUGAUUGUAAUCUUCAAUGAAGAGGUGGAAUGGAGGGUGAGAUAAUUAGCACGAACAUUGUUCCAGCACAUUGAUUGGUCAGUAUGACGCUCUGUGCAUAUUCUAUUGGACGCGCCAAUCCAAAGUCUGCAAUCUAGGGCUGAAAGUUCUUGUCUAGCAAAAUGUUGCUAGCUUUGAUGUCUCGGUGUACGAUUCUAGAUUGGGAUGAUGCGUGCAAAUAGUACAAUCCCUGCGCCACACCCUGGCAUACAUUUAUCCUCGCUUGCCAAUCCAACACCUGCUCAUCGGUUGAAGUCCUACCUGUAUACAUUACAGAAUUAGAAUAUUACCAAAUUUAUACAAAUCAGACAACAACUGGAGAACACUAGCAUAGUUUGAAGUAAUUUAAUUCCAACAAGAUAGAUUGACUUGGGAGGAUCAGCUGCUGCCCUUACUUAGAAGAACCUUGUCCAGAUCAGAGAUAUCCACGUAUUCGUAGACAAGGAGUGUCUGCUUGUCAUGGAGGCAGUAGCCCUUGAGGGUGACGAGAUUGCGAUGCUGAAGGUUGGAAAUGAGGAUCACCUCGUUGAGGAAGUCAUUUGUCCCACUGUUGUCUCCAAAAACAGUUGCUUCACUGCCACCAUCAAGUUGCUUGCCAAGAUACCCUGCACAAAAAAAAAUUGUAAGUCAAUAUAUUAUUACAUAUGCAAACUUUAAACCCGUAGACAUACGAUGGGAGAAAUUAAUAGUACUUGAUAGAGUGUGCUCUUAGCUUGUACACAGCUCCGUAGGCUCCUGCACCCAAUUUCAUUUCUGGAGCAAAGUUUUUGGUGGCCACUUGAAGCUCAUUAUAGUCAAACCUCUUGGCGCUGACAUCAGCUUCAUUGAUUUCUGCACGUGAAGGUACACCAAUGCAGAUGGAGUAUAGUUACAGAUUUGCUUCAAUAUGGUGCAAAAAACUCUGGUGACUCAACCUACAAGCUGGUUGAUGUAAAGCAGCUAAGCAAUACUACUUAAACAUGGCAGAUUAUUCACUCACUCUUCUGAAGGUCUCGAAUAUACUUGCGGUUCUGACGAAGGAUGAGGACAAAGCACAGGAUCAGCAACACAACUAUGAGUGCAGAGCUUCCGGAACUGGCCAUUAUCACGACCUUCCAGUUCUUGUUGGACUCAGCAAAUUCAUAGAGAAUGGUGAGGUCAGUACAGACAUGCUGAGAAGUUUUCUUUUGCAGAACAAUGCAUCAGUAAUGUUUUUAACCGAGUCUAUGAAAUAAAGAACAAUUGAUCGGAAAAUAAUUCUUACUUGCCAAUGCGAGGGUAUUGGAUAUUCAGCGAUAUCCACAAUAUGUAGAACACCAUCUAUGUCCAACCGAUGUUGCAACAUGGAUUGCCCUCCAGACUGAAGAUCAACACAUUUUCAACAAUCUAGCCAUGAAAACUCGAACACAAGUGCCUCUGAUUCAGGAAAGUUGAAUGAAUAGGUUGUAAAUGGCAGCCUAUGAAGAUCGAUGGAAGCUGAACAGGUAAGCAUGCCACAUAUUGCUAUAAACAAAUAUAUGCUUACACUCAUGAUUUAGCAAGAAGUUAUUUUACAAUAUACGUAUCAAAGGCCGGACUAUUUAAUGCUGUGUACGGGUAGACGCCCUUACAAUUCCGAACGUGGCGUCUUCAUUGGUGCAAAUGCACUCCAGUUAGGGAAAAAGCCACCAGUUUUAAGGCCUGAAAGUUCAAGCACAGAGAGUGACUCCGAAAGCUGUGGGCCUCUGUACGAUGCCGAUAUGUUGGACAACCCUGUGAAGAAGUUUGAACUUAGAUUUCUGAAUCACAAAGGGAAACACAUGAAGGUCCAUUAUUGUCUACAAUUGGUGUUAUAUAAGUAGUCAAUUGUAGUCAUAGACUGGAAUCGAUGCUGGUUGUGGCUAAUGAAUCCAACUUGUCCUUCCAAAUAUACAGGGCUUAAUUGCAUCAACCUCCAUGAUCUAAUGGCCCUGGUCUGCAACAGACAAAUUCAGCAAUCAUAUGACUCCCAAACUUCUCCAACCUGAAGUAUACUACCAAGUGCCCAUGAGCUGAAAAUUAUUGAAUUAUCAAUAAGGGGUGAAUCUGCUUAAGUUAGUAGUGAAGAUUAAAUAAGUAAAGGGAAAUACAUCGAUCUUUGCUUAAUGGUACAUAGAUGAGUGUAUGGAUGGUAUCUAACUCACAAUGCAAUCACACUGCAAAGGUAGAUGAAGUUUGGCAGUGGGCUUGUGAAUUUGUUGCUAGAUAUGUCCUUGCAUCACAAUACCAACUCGUUCGGAAACAUAAGCCAACUCAAAGAACUGAGUGACUAAAUCUCAUGGAAUUAGUGACAAUAUAAUGCCAUAUUCUAAAAGUCAGAAUGUCAACAAUUGUUUCAUAUAGUGUUAAUCAAGCAACAAAUAGAAAUGGAUCUUGAACUUACUUUUGACACAUGAAUGAGAACCAGUUCAUAUUUGUUUAGAAUGACAAGUUUAAAUUGUCAAAAAUAUGAUUAGUAGGAAACAAGAAUCUUUAAAAUCUAUUCCAAGUUUAAUUUUGAGAUUUAGAAGAACUAAAACUUGCCAAAUAACUAAAGAGAGCCAUUAUAACAAAGAUGGAAUUAGAAUAAAUGGAUGCUAUUUAACUCAACUCAUAGAGGUUUUUAUUGAAGAGCAGCAAGAUCUUGCAUAGUUGCCACCAUAUAGAGUUAAACCAUAAUAAGUUGUUAAUAGUUAAAAGACAACAAAGCAUUAAAAGAUAUUACUAUAAAGGCAGCUAGGAUAAGAAGAAUCUAGGAUUUAGUUGGAUAUAAGAAAGAAGAAUGAAAAUGAUUAAGUUCAUCUACAAUUGAUGUAAAAUCUAGCUGUAAGUAAAGAGUGUUAGAAGUAAGAGUCAUCUUAAACUUUACUUCAUUUUUUGUACAACCUUGCUGAUGCUAAGUAUUGUGGCUUCUAAUUUCUCUUUCUUCAAUAGGUGAUGGAUCCACUAACAUUCUUUUGUGAGUUUUUUUAUAGUUUUAUGAAGUCUUUCUUAUUGUGUGGAGUACAUCAUAUUGUUAUUGUUGAUAUUAGGAUUUAAAAUUCCUAACUUUUAGAUUCAUAACUAGAUCUAGAUCUUUGUUUGCUCUUAUUUGUUGUUAAGUGCAUCUUAAAUUCAAGGUUUGAUUUGUACCUUAUGGUGAUAUUUUAGAAUACUAGUAUUAUUUUUUCUUAUUGAUUAAGAACAUUAGUAGACUAACAUUAUAAUCUCAUGUAUUAAAAGAGCUUAAGGUGCUUAAAAGACCUCUUAUAAUAUCUAAAAGUGAUUUGUGAGCAUAAAAAUAAUAAAAGAGUGAAAAAUAUGAUUUGAGACAUUUAUAUUGAUCAUUAAAUUUGUGAGAGGUCCUAAAAGUGAAGUUGAAAGUGUUUUGAGAGUGAAAAUGAUAGUUUAUUCACAAAGAAGGCAUUCUGAGAUUUUAAAGCAAUAAUUUCUUUUUGCUGAUUUUGAGAGCUUUAAGACUAUUUUUCUUGAUCUUUUUUGAUACAUCUCUUCCUAUAACAUGGCUUCAAGUGAAGGUGAAGGCUUGAGAGCAAUUGAAAAGUUUAGAAGUAAGAAUUUCUACCAUUGAAAGGUCAAAAUGGAGCUUUUGUUGGUUGCUUUAGACCUAUGGAAUAUUGUAGAUGAAAGUAGAGAGCAUCCAAGCAUGCAUGCUAAUACAAAGGAGAAAAAGGACUACAAAAGUCAUGAAAAGAAGGCUUUUGGAUUGAUUGCAUGUAAUAUAGAUGAAGCCAACUUCUUCCAUAUUAUCUUUUCAAAGGACUAAUAGAAGCAUGGAGGAUUCUUUACAACAUCUAUGAGAGCAAGAACUUAUCCAACAUCAUCUAUACAAGGAAGAAAUUCUUCACAUGUAAGAUGGAAGAAGUUGAAGAUCUCAUAGCAUACAUCAAUAAGAUAAAGGCACUUAGAAAUCAACAUGUAAUUGUUAACAAGCCUUUAGAAGAAGCAGAUGUUGUUAUGACUCUAUUCAUGAGCUUACCAGAAUUCUACAACUAUUUCAUUGUGGCUUUGAAAUCCAUCAAGAUCAAAGAACUUACAAUGAAUUACAUGAUAGUAAGAGUUAGCCAUAAAGUAACCAAAAAGAAAGAAAAAAAAUCUCAAAAUAAAGAUUCAGUACUUUACUCAUGACAAGGCAAGGACAACUAUUCAAAGCAAUGAGGUAAUGUCAAAACUUGCUUCAUUUGUGGCAAAGUAAGACAUUUUGCCACAAAUGAAGCAAGUUUGCUACAAGGGCAAAAAAAUAAAAAUAAAAGAAUGCAAAUAGUGUACAAGAUAAAUUUGUAAGAUAAGAUUAUGCAUUUAUAACAAUAAAUGAGACUUAUAUAGCUGCCAUGUCAAGAUGGAUUGUAUAUUUAGGUUGUUCCAAGCAUAUGAUACCUUAUAAGUAUUUAUUUGACACUUAUGAGGUUAUUUUAGAAUCAAAUGUGAUUUUGGUAGAUAGUGGCAUAUGUGAAGCCAUUGGAAUUGGUUCUAUUAUGGUAGAAGUUGUUGUGAAUAGACAAACCAAUAGGAUUAGAUUCAAAAAUAUCUUUCAUAUGCCCAAAAUGAAGCAAAACCUACUUUUAGUGAGUAAACUUAUAAUAGAAGGUUUUAUGGUUCAAUUCAACAAGAAUAGAUAUUUUAUAAAAAUAUUGUAUAGAAACAUGGUUGCCAAAGGCUCUAGAUAGGGGAAUUUGUACUACCUCAAGUAUAAGAAGGUUAAUAAAGUGGAGGUAGUUGUAUUUACUAAGUUUACAUCAAAUCAAGAUAAGUUGAAUAUAU
rnacentral:lncRNA from 1 species